GCUGGGCAUGGUGGUGCAUGCCUGUAGUCCUAGCACUUUGGGAGGCUGAGGCAGGAGGAUUGCUUGAGCUCAGGAGUUCAAGGCUGCAGGCUGCAGUGAGCUAUGAUCAUGCCGCUGCACUCCAGCCUGGGCUACAGAGUAAGACCCCAUCUCAA
rnacentral:SRP_RNA from 2 species